AUUGAACGCUGGCGGCAGGCCUAACACAUGCAAGUCGAGCGAGCGGCGGACGGGUGAGUAAUGUCUGGGAAACUGCCUGAUGGAGGGGGAUAACUACUGGAAACGGUAGCUUAUACCGCGUACUCUCAGAUGUGCCCAGAUGGGAUUAGCUAGUAGGGUGGGUAACGGCUCACCAAGGCGACGAUCCCUAGCUGGCCUGAGAGGAUGACCAGCCACACUGGAACUGAGAAACGGUCCAGACUCCUACGGGAGGCAGCAGGGGGGAAUAUUGCAAAAUGGGCGCAAGCCGGAUGCAGCCAUGCCGCGUGAGUGAAGAAGGUCUUCGGGUUGUAAAGCACUUUCAGCGGGGAGGCGUUACCCGCAGAGGAAGCAACGGCUAACUCCGUGCCAGCAGCCGCGGUAAUAC
rnacentral:rRNA from 1 species